GUUUUGUAGAGAGAGAAAAUAGACAGAAAGCUCUCCAACUUCUUCCGACCAAUAUCGGGGUAAAUCUGGACAUGUUCUUCAAAGAUGUAGAAUCUGUAAAAGACGAUCUUCAAGAGCUUAAGUCUAGGUUGCUUAUUAUUUGCUGCUCUAGCUAGCUAGGCUAGGCGAUCGUUAGAUUGGUUAAACACUUAACCAGAAUGCACAGGUCCAGGUUCGGCGUUGAGUCUCCAAAACGAUAACCUUGAUUCGAGCCGUGACCGCCCGUUCGCGUUUUGGGACGUCGGCCUGCUGUGACAUGGACGCUCUUGACCGAUAAACCAGACCACGCGGCAGCGGCUAGCUGAAGACCCGACCGAGAGUUCCGCGUGCAGGUAUUCUUUGCUCGUUUAUUUGAAACAGGUAUUUUUUAAUGUUUAUGGUUAUUAGAUGUUUAGAUGUGAUUAGGGACAAAUAGCAAACUAAUUAAAUAAAACAAAUUUAAACAUCAUCUCGAAAUAAUAUACCACGAAAUCCUUUUCCUUUUAUAACAACACGAAACAAACACGUAAAUUAUUUUUCCUAAUUUUAAAAUAAAUUAUUUUAUAUUAAAAAGUCUAAGAUAUAUAGUUGGACUAGCUAAAGUAGCCAUAUAUUUUUUUUUCUUUUUUAUUCUUGAGUUCAGUUGGAGUUAAUAUUAUGUUAUUUGAUGAUAAACUGAUCUUUACAACAACUGGUUAGUAAAGUGUUCAAUAAAGCUGAAUAAGACAUUCAAGAGAAAAUAAUUUUUUUUAUUAUUUAAUAGUAAAACAUAGUUUAUGCAAAUAUUG